CGAUGCGAUCAUACCAGCACUAAAGCACCGGAUCCCAUCAGAACUCCGAAGUUAAGCGUGCUUGGGCGAGAGUAGUACUAGGAUGGGUGACCUCCUGGGAGGUCCUCGUGUUGCAUUCC
rnacentral:rRNA from 1 species